GGGAUAUGAAUUCUAUUUGCUGAAGAAAAUAUUUUUGAUACAGUUAUGAAGAAAAUUUUUCAUUGUAAUAAUGUUUUAAAAUAAUGGUCAUUUUCCUUGACCCUUCUUCCUGGCUCAAUAUGAAUGGUCUGUGUGCAAUUUGGUCUACUGAGGUCAUAGGUCAGGCCUGUCCUAUUAACAUGUAGAGAAAAUCAAUAUUUGUUUAUUCUCCACGCUGUGCAAAUCACCAUGCCUUCAUAUAACAAAAAAGUGUAUAUUCAUAGUUGGCAUUAAGCAAAAACUAAUUGUGCUUUUAGAAAGAGAUUGCUUUAGGUGAUAGAUACUAGUUGCUUGAGCUGCCAUAACGAAAUAUGAUAGACGGGGAGGCUUCAACAAUUACAAUUUACUUUCUCCUGGUUCUGAAGGACAGAAGUUUCCAAUCAGGGUCUGGCAGAAUCAGUUCCCAGUGAGGGCUCUCUUUCUGGGUUGUAGACAGCCGCCUUCUACGUGACCUCACAUGAGAGAAAGAGAUCUCUUCCUCUUCUUAUAAGACACCUAUCCCAUCGCUAGGGCUCCAUCCUCAUGACCUCAUCAAAAUCUGAUAACCUCCCCAAGGCCCCCAACUCUCAGUAUCAUCACAUUCAGGGGUUAGGGCUUCAACAUCAGAGUUGGGGGUCGGGGGACACAAUCCAGUUGGUAGCAGUAUUGUUUCUAGUUAAUUGAAUAUAGUUUUUCAAUAUAGUUUUGGGGUGUUCUGGAGAGUUCUAUAGGAGAUCUAUUAAGGUCAUUUCUCUGUCUCAGUAGUUCCAGGUUCUCCAAAGGUUUUAGAGCCACAGGUUUACAUGUUAUUAAAGCUCAGGGGAAACUAGUCAAAUAGUCCUGGACUUGAGGUAGGCCAAGUAUCUUAUCAUAUAACCAUUCUAAAACUCAGUUGAUUAUAGAGAAAGAUUAAACAUAGGUUUUAAUCUUUGCCAAAGACAGGUAAUUUGGCCAGAGAACACCUAAGCAAACUUAACCCUAAUUUUUAAAACUCCCUUUCUGAAAACUCUGUCCUGAGAUGAAUAACCAUUAUGAAAACCUCCAUCUUUAUUUAGAACCUUGUUGUCCAACAGAAAUGUAAGGCAAGCCAUGAAUGGAAUUUAAAGUUUUCUAUUAACUACAUUUUAAAAAGGUAAAAAUAAAUGGGUUUAUUUUAAUAAUGUAUCUUAUUUAACCAAUAUAUUAAAAAUAUUAUCAUUUUGACAUAUAAUCAAUGUAAAAUAGCAAUGAAAUUUUUUUCAGUGAGAUAGUUUUUUUUGUACGAUGUUUUGAAAAUGGUCUGUUAUUUUACACUUAGAAAACAAAUCAAUUCAGAUUAGCCAAAUUCUAGUAUUUAAUGACCACAUAUGGCUAUUGCUGUCUCAUUAGAUGGCUCAGAUGUAGAGGAACUAUAUGAUUGGAACCAUGCUAUGUACAUAGAUGUGGCUACAACCCAGUUAUUGUUUAAUUGUUUUACUAAUAACCCUCAAAACAAAGGAGACAAGCAGGGUGGUAUUCGGGCUUGAGGCUGUUUAUAAAUCUUUCAUUGGACUGUCUGGAAUUGAAAAUCCUGUCAGUGAGUAGAUUCUGCACUCUUUGAGGAAGAUUUAGUAAGUAUAAAUACUAACUUUGCAGUUUUCGGACGAUUGCCCGUCAAAAGGGUCAUGAAAAGAGUAAGAGGCAGCCCUACUUUGGCCCCAGUUUGUCAGUUGGUUGCUGGCAUAGCUCAGGUUUCCACUUUCAUACACUUUAUGGGUUUUAGCAAUUGUAACUUAAAGGAGAUAGUAUUUAUAAGAGAUUAGUUAAAUGAAAGUGAAAUCUUGGAGACACUACCAAAAAUGUUACCUAAUGUUUAUAUGGGGCAUCUCCUAUAGGAACUCAAGGAUCGAAUGCUCCUAAUUGCUAUAGGAGGUUGAUAUUAAUAUUCCAGUUUUGCCAGUGAGGAAAAUCCAUUGUCAUAAGACCUUUUUUUGGGGGGGGUCUUUUGGGGGCCGCACCUCCAGCAUAUGGAAGUUCCCAGGCCAAGGGUCUAAUCAGAGCUGUAGCUGCAGGCCUAGACCACAGCCACAGCAACGCCAGAUCUGAGUCACAUCUGUGAAAUACACCACACCUCACGGCAACCCCAGAUCCUUAACACUGAGCAAGACCAGGGAUGGACCCCUCAUUCUCAUAGACACUAGUCGGAUUUGUUUGCGCUGAGCCAUGAUGGGAAUUUCCUUUAUGUUCUUUUUUUAAAUUAAGAUCUAACUUCUAUAAAGAAUAUGAAUCUUAAGUGUUCACCUUCAUCAAUAUUUCUUUUACUUAUGUCUACCUCCAUAUAACUGCCCUCCCCCCAGGUUAAGAGAGAACAUUUCCAGCACACCAGCCGCUCCCUGACCCCACAUUCCCUGCAAGUAGAUGACCCCCCAAGGACACCAUAGUUCUAACCUCUAUCACCAUAGCUUGGUUUCGUGUGUUCUUGAACUUCACAUAAAUGGUGUUGUACAGUGUAUGCCUUUUUGCAUCAGGCUUUUUUGGCUCAACUUUCUGUCUGUCAGAGUCCUUCGUUUUGGGUAAAGUAGGAGUUCAUUCUUUUUCACUGCCCCGUAUUACUUCAUUAUAUAAACAUAUCACAGUUUUGAUCCCUUCUGUUGCCAGACAUUCUUGUACGCUUUAGUUAGUGUCUUUUGAUAGACAGAAACACAUCUUAUCUUGUGUAUAUGUUCAUGAGCGGAACUUCUGAAUCACAGCAUAUACAUAUGUGUGCCUUUAGCAGAUAAUGUCAAAUAGUUUUCUUAAGUGGUUGUACCAGUUUACACUCUCACCAGCACUGUGCGAGAGUUCUGGCUAUUCCAUAUCUUCACCAACACUUGGUAUCAUCGGGGUGUGGUGCUCUAUCAUUGCCUUA
rnacentral:lncRNA from 1 species